GACGGGGGGGGCAAGUGUUCUUCGGAAUCACUGGGCUUAAAGGGCGCGUAGGCGGGCCGUCAAGUCGAGGGUGAAAGCCCCCAGCUCAACUGGGGAAGUGCCUCCGAUACUGGCGGCCUCGAGGGGGAUAGGGGCGUGCGGAACUUCCGGUGGAGCGGUGAAAUGCGUAGAUAUCGGAAGGAACACCGGUGGCGAAAGCGGCGCGCUGGACUCCCUUCUGACGCUGAGGCGCGAAAGCCAGGGGAGCGAACGGG
rnacentral:rRNA from 1 species